AAAAAAAUCAGGUCAUCUAGCAAAACGGUCGUUUUGCAACGCCAAGAAAUUAAAGAGAAAACGACUGUGCUAUAUAACGGUAAACAUAGCUACCAUGUAUUUUGUCUCUUCAAAAAGUGCCCNNNNNNNNNNNNNNNNNNNNNNNNNNNNNNNCAAAAUCAGAUUAUUUGGCGACAAAUGAGUAGAAUCGAACUGUCAUUUAACUUUCAAGGUCAAGCUAAACCCUAUUUGCGAUCGACCAAAAACAUUCGUUAAGCACCAAAAAAAGUUUCAUGUUUUUUUUUUUUUUCUUCGUCAUGUUUAUGUCAGCCCCACUUUCGCCCUUAUUAAUAGGAGUAGAGAGAUCAGUGAUGGCUCCAAUAUCAACUAAAUUCAAUGGGGAUGAACCACGGCUCAAAAAAACUUCAAAUAUAUGAGCCUAAAUGGCCUCGCCCCCCUCCGAAAUUCAAGAGAUCUUAGAACAAAACUUCCCUUUCAUUUGCGCGAAGAGAGAACAAUUUAUUUUUUCAAAUAAAUGUUGUAGUAGGUGAGACGACAUGCACACAGGUUGCUCUCAAAAUUUUAAAGAGACUCUUCAGUCGACACGUACCACUGAAAUGUAUUAUUAGUAGAAAGAUGAAG
rnacentral:lncRNA from 1 species